CGCGGUAAAACCAGCACCUCAAGUGGUCAGGAGGAUUAUUGGGCCUAAAGCAUCCGUAGCCGGCUCUGUAAGUUUUCGGUUAAAUCCAUAUGCUCAACAUAUGGGCUGCCGGAAAUACUGCAGAGCUAGGGAGUGGGAGAGGUAGACGGUACUCGGUAGGAAGGGGUAAAAUCCUUUGAUCUAUGGAUGACCACCUGUGGCGAAGGCGGUCUACCAGAACACGUCCGACGGUGAGGGAUGAAAGCUGGGGGAGCAAACCGGAUUAGAUACCCGGGUAGUCCCAGCUGUAAACUAUGCAAACUCAGUGAUGCAUUGGCUUGUGGCCAGUGCAGUGCCGCAGGGAAGCCGUUAAGUUUGCCGCCUGGGAAGUACGUACGCAAGUAUGAAACUUAAAGGAAUUGGCGGGGGAGCACCACAAGGGGUGAAGCCUGCCGGGCAAUUGGAGUCAACGCCGG
rnacentral:rRNA from 1 species